CUCAUUUCGAUUCUUGUUUAAUACCCGCUUCUCUACCAAUCUCUGCACCGUUUAAGCUCCCUGGAGAACAGAUUUGGAAAGAAGUAUCUGUGUAAAAGAUUGUAAUUUGUAAGUUUUAGCUUUGACAACAUGUCAAACAGAGCUUUUAUCAGCUCAGUCAUGGCGAUGGUGUUGAGCAUGAUUGCUGUUAUGGGAGUGAGUGCUCAACAUGUUCCAUCCCCUGCGCCUGCCCCUACCAGCGAUGGGAGCACCAUAGAUCAAGGAAUUGCCUACAUUCUGAUGUUGGUGGCCCUGCUUCUCACCUAUUUCCUGCACUGAUUGAUACCACACAUAGACAAGAUAUGCAUUUCCACAUUUUUCGGAUCACAGGAAUUGUUUUGCUAUGGUCUAUGUAAUUUUUUAACGUUGAUGUAAGGGACUGGAUCGCCCCUACUGUAAACCAAGAGCCACAAAGAUUGAUAUUCAAUUCUUUAUUCAUUAUCCAUGCCUUUGCUCUGCUUGGCAUAAUUGUUCAACAUGUCUCAUCAAGACAAUUUUAUCCAGAAAAGAAACAGUUUUGUGUAUAUCAUAUAACAUUUAAGAUAGAAUUUAUAUUUAAGCUGUUGAUACUUGA